UCUCAGAUUGAUAUACCCGAUCUCGUCUGAUCUCGGAAGUCAAGCAAUCUCGGGCUUGGUUAGUACUUGGAUGGGUGACCGCUUGGGAAUACCAAGUGUGAUAAGCA
rfam:Ciona savignyi cont_62302, whole genome shotgun sequence.